UAGGGAAUCUUCCGCAAUGGACGAAAGUCUGACGGAGCAACGCCGCGUGAGUGAAGAAGGAUUUCGGUUCGUAAAACUCUGUUGUUAGGGAAGAAAAAAUGUAUAGUAACUAAAUACAAAAGAGACGGUACCUAACCAGAAAGCCCGGGCUAACUACGUGCCAGCAGCCGCGGUAAUCCGUAGGUGGCAAGCGUUGUCCGGAAUUAUUGGGCGUAAAGCGCGCGCAGGUGGUUUAGAAAGUCUGAUGUGAAAGCCCACGGCUCAACCGUGGAGGGUCAUUGGAAACUAAUAAACUUGAGUGCAGGAGAGAAAAGUGGAAUUCCUAGUGUAGCGGUGAAAUGCGUAGAGAUUAGGAGGAACACCGGUGGCGAAAGCGGCUUUUUGGCCUGCAACUGACACUGAGGCGCGAAAGCGUGGGGAGCAAACAGG
rnacentral:rRNA from 1 species